AAACCGGAGCUAAUACCGGAUAAUAUUUCGAACUGCAUGGUUCGAUAGUGAAAGAUGGCUUUGCUAUCACUUAUAGAUGGACCUGCGCCGUAUUAGCUAGUUGGUAAGGUAACGGCUUACCAAGGCAACGAUACGUAGCCGACCUGAGAGGGUGAUCGGCCACACUGGAACUGAGACACGGUCCAGACUCCUACGGGAGGCAGCAGUAGGGAAUCUUCCGCAAUGGCGAAAGCCUGACGGAGCAACGCCGCGUGAGUGAUGAAGGUCUUCGGAUCGUAAAACUCUGUUAUUAGGGAAGAACAAACGUGUAAGUAACUGUGCACGUCUUGACGGUACCUAAUCAGAAAGCCACGGCUAACUACGUG
rnacentral:rRNA from 1 species